CCUCUCUCUGCCCCUCCUCUCUCUGCCCCCUCUCUGCAGCAGACGGACCAGCAGCAGGAAGUAGGCGGCUCAGCCAGCCGUUCUCAGCUUCAGUGAAACAUCGUCAGGUCAGAUCACUGAGAAGAACAAUGGAAGGAACAUCUCACUGUCUGAUCUUUCUGAUCUUCUUGCUGAGCUGCUCAACACAUCCAGUCUCUCCAGCUGCUCUGACUGUGAGUCCCAGCAGAUCUCAGUUCUUUGAAGGAGAAUCUGUGACUCUGAUCUGUGAGGAUGAAAACAGCUCUGAUGGAGGAACUGUGAGGAGAAACACAACCAGAGGAACCAGGAAGCGAUGUGGAGAUGGAUGGGGGAAAUCAGUUGGUCCUACCUGUAGCAUCACCUUGUUCCCAUCAGACUCUGGCCUGUACUGGUGUGAGUCCAUGUCUGGAUCCUCCAGCAGCAGCAUCCAGCUCUCUGUCUCUGGUAAGAUCAGACUGUGGAGUUAGUGUUGCUGUGUGGAAAUGGAUGAAAUGCUGUAGUUUGUCUCUGUGUUGAGGUGGAUCAGUGAUCCUGCAGAGUCCUGUCCUCCCUGUGAUGGAGGGAGAUGACGUCACUCUGAGCUGCAGAGCAAAGAGUCCAGCCCACAACCUCCCAGCUGCUUUCUAUAAAGAUGGUGUCUUCAUUGGCAAUGAGUCUUCAGGUCACAUGACCCUCCUCCAUGUCUCCAGCUCUGAUGAAGGCCUCUAUAAGUGCAGCAUCAGCGGUCAGGGAGAGUCUCCAUCCAGCAGGAUCUCUGUGGAAGAGAAACCAACAACCAUUUCUGAUCCUCCAACCACUUCUGGUUCUCCAUCCUCUCCUCCAUCAUCAUCAUCUUCAUCUUCCUCCCGUUUGUAUCUGAUUCUGGCUCUAAGAUGCGGAAUCGCUGUGGUUUUGCUGCCGACUCUGGUUCUACUGGUGAGACGAUAUUUUCAGAGAAAAUAUGCUGUUGACCCCGUGAAGAUAAAUAAUGUUCGUUAUCGACAGAAAACCAUCAG